GACAUAGGUGGCGAACGUUAUCCGGAAUUAUUGGGCGUAAAGGAUGCGUAGAUGGUGUAGUAAGUUAUCGGUGGCAAAUCGAGGCUCAACCUCGUGGAAGUCGAUAAUACUGCUAUGCUAGAGGAUAGGAGAGGUUAACGGAACUCCCUGUGGAGCGGUGAAAUGCGUAGAUAUAGGGAAGAACACCAAUUAAGGCGAAGGCAGUUAACUAUUCUAUUCCUGACAUUUGAGGCAUGAAAGCGUGGGGGAGCAAAAACGGG
rnacentral:rRNA from 1 species